CAAUGCCAGGAUUUCCAUGCCACUGUUUUGGCAAAGGCAAGAGAAGACUUCCCUACUGGUUCCUGCUACAGAGUAAUACAUCAUAGAUAUUUGGGGCCACAGAAUAUCCUGACUUGGAAGGGAACGACAGGGAUCAUCGAGUCCAAGUCCUGACUUUGCACAGGGCACCCUAAAAGUCAAACCUUAUAUCUGAGAGCAUUGCCCAAAGACUUCUUCAACACCGGCAGGUUUGGGUCUUGAUCACUUCCCUGGGAAGCUUGUUCCAGUGCUUUUUCACCCUUCUCAAUUUCUGCAGGGAUCUAAAGCAUGGGAGAGGCAGUUCCACCAGGUGUAUAUGGAUAACAAGAGCCUUCCUUGCUCCCCGUCAGUUGGAAUAACUGCUUGUAGAAAAGAAGUGCUAAAACCUAAGUGGGGUGGAAAAAUUUUCAGUAGCUCAUUCAGAUGGAAUUCACUGUGUUCAGAAGAAAAACGAGCACCUCAGACAAAGAAAAAGGAAAGAACCAGGAGCAUUUACACAAGGUGAGAUGCUGUACGGAGGCAUCAAAUUACUAAUGCAGAGCUAAGAACAAGGAGAAAGUACAUGUACUUUGAAAAACGAGGUGCUGAAGCAAGUCAUUCACCAAGUCUCCUUCAUCUCUCACAAACAUCAGAAUAACUGUCAAAGUUUCCAAGGUUGCAAACCAGUUUGGUUUCUGGCAUCUGGUACGUUAAGGUAAAUAUAUAAGCACAGCGAGUGGGACAUACUGCAGAGACCCCUGAGCUUGUACCCAAAAAGCUGGCUCCCAAACUGGGAGUAGAUCUCACCUGAUGGGUCUGUGCCUCCCUUUGAUGCUGCACCUGAACCAACUGCCUCUUCUGCCAGGCAGUGAUGUUAAGCUACCACAGCUCUAAUGCUCCUGGCAUUUAUUUUAGCACGGUGGCACAUUGUACUGCCCAGAUGUUCUGGCUUUUCUGCAGAUAGCUGCGGGUAUGAGUAUCUGAUUCAUCACAUAGGCAAAUAUUCCCUAAAAGCACAAAAAGGUCUUUCUUCCACAGAAAACUUCCAGUUUUGCCGCGGAGUUUAUAGAAGACAAAAUAAGACCUUUGAAGCCGAGGGAUGCUUAUGGGGGAGCAGUGUUUAACUACCUUUUUGAUGUUUUUUGGAAUUUCUUACUGGAAAGUGUGUUGCAUGAGAGUGCAAUUAAUAGGACGUUGCCUUUCAAAGAAAAGGCAGAGACUAAUGAGUCAAACCAAAAUGAUGGAUUGCACAGGCAAGGACAAGAUGCAUUUGCCUGGUGUUGCAGAGGAAUAGCUGGGGGACCUGUGAGCACCGGGAUAAGAUAAACUCAACAGGUUUGUUUAAUUAUUAUAGGCAUGAAUGAGUAAAAAGCAUUAAGUAGGCAGGUGCAAAACAUUGUAAUAGGAAUGUCAGGAGUAUACUGGGAUAUCAGAGUUCCUCGGUCUGUGCUUAUUCCAUUUUACUGUGUGAGCUAAAUCUCCAGUUCAUUUUUUGGCAGUUGUAAACGUUAAUCGAAAUGCCGUUUUAGGGACUUGCUGUACUGUUUUUAUGAUGUCCGGGAGAAGUUUAUGAUGGAAUUAACUCUCAUGCUGGUGAGGUGGGAAGGGAUGCUGGGUUAAGUAUAUCACUGCAUGUGAGCUGUGCAGCUGCACAGAACAUACUGGUCAAUCAUAACAGUUUUGACGUGCUUUUGUAAAACAAAAGGAAGGAAAAAGGAAGCCAGUGUUUUGAAUUGGCAAAAGGUCCUCUUAAAUAGCAGCCUUAAAAUUAUUUGCUUUGAUUAGUUUGUAUCUGCUGAAGACCAAAUAAACAAUUUGGGAUUUUGGUACAUGCUUUUCUCAUUUCUACUUCUAAAUAUAAAAAGUUCACAUUAACUGGGUAAGAAGUGUAUGGCAGGCAGGGUUUUGCUGUUUCCACAAUAGAGAAUCCCAUAGGAACAAUGAAUCAAAUGCAGAACCGAAGUAAACUUCGACUCCAGAAGACUCUGAAUGGCACAAGCCUGGAUGCAAAAUGUUCAGAGAAUUUUGAACAGGUAGUAGUAAACUGGAUAUAACUGUGGGUUAUUCCUGAUAUAGUAUAUGCAUCUGAUUUGGCACGAAUGAUUAUAAUUAAGGCUGGCUACGGGUGUUGAAGGAUGGCAUUGGAGUAGUUAUGGACCUGAUCAAAGAUAUACUACAGCAUCUGAGUAGUGGUCAAAAUGACUUUUUAAAAAGGAUUAGUCUGUCUCUAAAAAUCCAUAAACUGUUCACGGCUUUAAUUUUUAUUUGUCUCUAGUUAAAGACCUUGUUUCCUUUUUUUUUUUUUUCCCCACUAUUUAGACUAGUUUCAUCGUGUAUGCUUAAUGGAAUUACAAUCCUUUUCACUCCAUACAUUUUUCAGAAGAUUCAUGCAUUUUCAUACUAAUAACCUGUGCACUGCUAAAUAACCAAUGCCAGCCAUAGUACAGUUAAUCUUUCCCUAUUUCUGACAGAAUUAAUGGUAAGAACCAUUUUGCUACAGUUGAGUGUAAUUUCCUGUCUGGGGAUAUAACUAUUAGCUGACAAGAUAUUAAGCAAAUAUUGAAUAUUGCAUUGAGAAUGAAGCCUUCUAAACAGCUCCUAAAUUUGCAUAAAUCAUAUUAAUUAAUUAAUUUUCUGCUAAAAAUAAAACAUGCCCAAGCUGUGUUCAGCGUAAAAGUUUCCAGUCUGGUAGCAUCUUGGAAGGAGCAUAGCGGGAACCCUCGAAGCGGCAGACAAAUCGAAGACCCUCCUCAGUCUACGGCAGCAAACUGACUCAGAGCAGGAGCUCUGCCUGCCCUUGUGGCCAUUCCUGCCAGGCAGCUCGCUUUUCAGCCUGAGCUGGCAGGGAGGAGGAGGAGGGGCACGGGAGAAUCUUGGAAAUUAUUUUGACAUCCCCUGGGAUUCCCAAGUCUCUGCAGCAGACUUGUAACGCUCGGUAUGGUGCCUCUUGUUUAAUAAGCAAACCUAAGAGUAAGGUUUUCUUUGCAAAUAUUUAACAUCCCUGUUGUAGCUGUACGCGCCAGGAGCUGGAGAGGUGCUAAGCUCCCUUCCUUCCCAGGAAGAGGCAUACAUGCCAUAUCAGAGCAGGGAGAGCAGCACAAGCAAGAGCCUCUGAACGUUUUGCCAGGAAGUAGCUUUGCAGCUCUCACUGGUGUUAUGGUGCAGCCACAAGCCUGCGUCCCUACAGCCUGUUUGAGAAUUUAGGGAGCAGCUGGGGAGACAAUCAAAAGAUAAACUGAGCAGAGGAAGUGUACUUCGGUGUCUUUUCAUCUGGAUGUGCUGGAGUGUAUAGGGCAAGCAAAGGGCGAUGCAGGGACAGCAGGUCCUUUCAUCGCAGUGGGCCAAAAGGAUCUCAGGGCUUCAGUCCUCCUUUAACGUUUUUCCUCAUAUGGCUUGUAUCCUUGAAAAAGACUUCAGAGCUACCUGAAAAUGCCAUGUGACAAGGAGUCAAUUUACUAUGUUAUCAUUAAUAGCUCAAGCCUAGUGGCCAUCAAGAAGCCCCAGGAGACGCUGCCAAGUGGCACUACGCUGCCAGCCUAACCAUCCUGUCGUUCCUUUGAAUAGAGGCUGCCUUUGAAAAUGAGCAGCUUCAGCCACAGCAACUCUAUGGCAGCGGCUCCCGGCUUCCCAGAGCCCGCAGGCGCUGCGAGGAGCACAGCACCAGCCGGAUCAGAGCUCCUUUGAGCUGCAAGCCCUCCGCGUACACCAGCAGACUCGGGCCAGGCGGUACCUUCGUUCAGAGCAGUUCUUUGUGCCACGACAUGCCACACGGCAGGAUUGUCAUAGGGGGGGUUCACAGUAAUGUGCUUCUAACCUGGAGCUUUUGAAAUAGUGCCUGCCCAUCUCUGUCAAUAACCCUUCUUCUAGGGGAGCCUUUGGGGAUCUUUAUUUUAAUCUGAACUAUGUCCCUUUUGUUUUGGGGUCAGCUUUUAAUUCUCUGUCUUCAGUCGCUAUAUUGAUGCCUCUCCUGCGUGUCUCUGAACUUUCCUUUGGCUACCUGGAGACUCCUUGCUUAUUCUGAGACACAAUUUAAUCAUAUUAUUUGCCUGUCAUCUGACAGUGAUAUUUUCCUGUGCUUCAGGAUUUGUGCAAAAUGAGUUCUAGGUGGACUGGACCCAUCUUCCUGGGGGUUAGUUGCAUCUGAUGGAGUUUAAAAGAUAGUUUAAAGGACUCUGUCCAUUCUUAUGCUCCUAACAGCAUGCACAACACUCUCAUUAUGAAAUCUGGAUAGCCUGGGUUUGUUGGUUUUUUUUUCAUGGAUUAGCAUGUUUGCAUGCUUUAAAAGUGGUUGACAGCCUGGACGAUUGGGUUCAGGAAGAGCUUUUUGUUGCAGUUACUAACACUUCUAGAACCAAAACACUUCUGAGCUUUUAGAAAACAUUUUCACCAAUUCUUUUAUGCUUUCUUGAAGUUUUAGGAAAAGAAACCAAUUACCCAAACAAAACUACCUCCUUUUGAUCAAAAGCAUGGUGAUCUGGAACUGCUUCUGAGAAAGAGGAGACAAACCCAUCCAGCUUGGUAUACGAUCAUUGAUUUCCAGUGAUCUGUCCCUGUAUGACGAGGUGGAAGAGUGGAGUCAAUUCUGCACAAAAGAUACAGGCAUCAGCUGUGGCUUUUCAGAUUAGGCUUUUCAGCAGACGAGCAAUAAGCACCCUGCUGCUCCUGUGUUACCACUCCUGGCAAGACACAGAAUGUCAAUAAGGACACUGCCUCCGAAGUGCCGCAGCAAGGAAGGAACUACGGCUGCCUCGUGUGGAGUAUGCUGAGUUAGAGCCGGUCCAUCCCAGUAGCUGCUGACAAUCCAAGCAACAUGUUACUGACUCAUAAGUCUGUGUGAACAUCGUUCAGAAGGUGCAAGACAUUACUGUUACAGGGGUCAAUGAACAGAACAUAUGUUGAAAGAAGAAGCAGAAGAGCCCUGAAUGGUCAGGUCGGAUGAUCACCAUUCGGACUGAACUCUCUGAGCCUCUGCCUCUCUACUGACAUCAUAUGGCAUCUUUCAUCCCCAAAUAUCUCAUUGCUGAAUGCCUUGUAAAACUUGACCUGCCUUUCGACAAAUGACUUCAUGCCGUGCUGAAACACAGCUCCUCCAGGACUGCAAAGUGCUGCCCACUGAGGAGCGCGUUGCAGCAUGAACGAAGAUCAGAUGAAUCCUGCGUUGUCCGACAUGUUCCAGGAGACAUUUGGGUCAAGAUUUUGGGGCUGAACCUCCAUUCAAGCCACAAGGUUGAUUGUAUAGUUAAGGACAAGAGGUAUUCAUGAGAUCAGUUUUACACCUCCCCUGAAGCGUGCCAUCACUCCCAUCCUUUCUCAGGGUAUGGAAAUAUAGAAUCAUAGAAUCAUUUAGGUUGGAAAAGACCUUCGAGAUCAUCAAGUCCAACUGUUAACCUAGGACUGCCAAGUCCACCAUUAAACCACGUCCCUAAGCACCGCAUCUACGCAGGGUGUAAUGAGGUUGUUAGUUCAGUAUCACUAAUAACAGCUGAUCAUGUAAUUCUGCCAGGACCUGCAACUUUGUAGGUUUAUCUCGGAAGUUACUGAUUCUAACGCUAGUCCUUCCCCCAGCUGCCUUUUGCAAAUCGAUAAAAUCUCAGCUUUCAGUAACAAUAUGGUAAAAGUGCACUUUCUUUGUGCUGUGUAUCUUCUGCUGCUACACCAGUAACCAACCAUUUGUCAUAUAAUCAGAUCCUUGCUGAACUAUAUGCCAUCUGUGAUCAAAUGAACGAUGAAUAAAUUCAGACUGCAAUUUUAGCUAGCCUAUUUUUUGUUCAUAUUUCGUUCUUAGUAGAUUUGAGUCUUUUUGACCUUGUGAAAAAUGGCUGCGUUGGAACUAAAAAUGUGUUUUAUUUCUAGAUAAUGGACUAUGCCAACUUCCAUUUCUUUUGGAAUUCAAUAGAAACUGUUUGGUAUAUCAGAACAUUUUCUACAUCCUUAUUUACUUUUUCUUCCUUUCAGACUAUGCUCUUUGAUAUAGCUAAAACUCCAAUCUUUGCUCAUAUCUCCUGGCUCCAGCAAUUCUUUUUUGAUUUCCAUUGUUUUCCGUGUGGCAGGAACUCUUGCUGUCAUUUAGUUUUCCACUCGUGUAGCUAUGAGCUAACAAAUUACACCAAUU